CGUCGUAGCCAAGUGGUUAAGGCGGCGGUCUGCAAAAUCGCUAUCGUGGGUUCGACUCCCACCGACG
rnacentral:tRNA from 1 species